UACGUAGGUGGCAAGCGUUGUCCGGAAUUAUUGGGCGUAAAGGGCUCGUAGGCGGUUUGUCGCGUCGGGAGUGAAAACCAGGUGCUUAACACCUGGCUUGCUUUCGAUACGGGCAGACUAGAGGUAUUCAGGGGAGAACGGAAUUCCUGGUGUAGCGGUGAAAUGCGUAGAUAUCAGGAGGAACACCGGUGGCGAAGGCGGUUCUCUGGGAAUGACCUGACGCUGAGGAGCGAAAGUGUGGGGAGCGAACAGG
rnacentral:rRNA from 1 species